rnacentral:sRNA from 1 species
CCGUUAGGCGCCGCGCGGUGCUAGCUGCCGGCGCUCCCCUCCGUUUGCACCCACGCCCGCCCUAUUGCGGCUGGCACUACGCUUCUGCCAGGACCCCGGCUCCCUUUUCCGUUGACCUGGUGUUCGUUUUCCAUGUGUUGCUGAGAGGUGGAUGUUAAAAAUCAACACCAGGACUACAGUAAGGCUGAAAUCAUUGAAGUGCUUGGAGUGCAGAACUGAAAGAGAUGGAGUCUCGCUCUGUCACCCAGCCUGGAGUGCUGUGGUGCGAUCUUGGCUCACUGCAAGCUCCUCCUCCCGGAUUUAGGCCAUUCUCCUGCCUCAGCCUCCCGAGUAGCUGGGACUACAGGCGGCGCCUGCCACAACUCCCGGCUAAUUUUUUGCAUUUUUAGUAGAGAUGGGGUUUCACCGUGUUAGUCAGGAUGGUCUCAAUCUCCUGACCUCGUGAUCCGCCCGUCUCAGCCUCCCACAGUGCUGGGAUUACAGGCGUGAGCCACCGCGCCCGGCCGAUUUAUGCCCAUCUUUAUUUCUUUUUUUUGACUUUUGGUUUAGCAUAUAGCAUGUUUAUUAUUCUUGUUUAAGCCUUUCCUCAUUUUUAAAAAUUGUGGCAAAGUAUACAUGUAACAUAAAAUUUACCAUCUUAACUAUUUGAGCAUACAGCUCAGCAGCAUUAAGUAUAUUCCCAUUUUUGUACAACCAACAUCCACAACUUUUUCAUCCUGUAAAUGUGAAACUAUAUCCAUCAAAUAAUAACUACCCUUUUCCCCCUGCCCCCAGCCCCUGGCAACCACGACAAGAAACCUACAAACUCUCACUACAAGCGUUAAUAGCCUAAAAGUGGGAGACCAGUAAUACUUUCUGAUUUUAUGAGGUGGACUACUCUAGAUACUUCAUAUGAGUGGAAUCAUAAGUAGUUAUCUUUUUGUGAUUGGCUUGUUAGAAUAUCCUCAAGGUUCAGCCACAUUGUAGCAUAUGUCAAAAUUUCCUUCCAAGGCUGAAUAAUAUUACAUUGUAUGUAUAUGCCACAUGUAUUAGUCUGUUUUGUGUUGCUAUAAAGGAACACCUGAGGCUGGGUAAUUUAUAAAGAAAAAUGGUUUAUUUAGCUUAUGGUUCUAUAGGCUGUACAAGAAGCAUAGUGCCAGCAUCUGCUUCUGGUGAGGCCUCAGGAAGCUUACAAUUAUGGCAGAAGGCAAAGGGAGAGCUAGCAUAUCACAUGGCAAGAGGGAACAAAAGGGGGAGGGAGGAGGUGCCAGGCUCUUUUAAACAACUAGCUAUAGGGUGAACUCAUAUCCACGUGGAGGACACCAAGCCAUUCAUGAGAUCCACCCCAUAAUCCAACACCUCCCACUAGGCGCCACCUCCAACAUUGGGGGUCACAUGUCCGUGUGAGAUUUUGAGGGAACAAAUAUCCAAAUCAUAUUACCACAUUUUGUUUAUCCAUUCAUCCACUGAUGAACAUCUGGGUUGUACGUAUUUCUUGGUUAUUGUGAAUAAUGCUGCUAUUAAUUUCUCCUUUUUUUAUUUAAGUACUUAACAUUCCUCUCAACUCUGCUUUAGCUGUAUCCUUCCAAUUUUGAUAUGCUGUGUUGUCACUUUUUCAUAUUUCAAAACAUUUUCCCCUUAUUUAUUCAAUGAUCUGUAGAUUUAGAAGUGUGUUAUUUAAUUUCCAUGUAUUGAAGGACUGUAUAGGUUUCUUAUUACUGGUUUCUAAUGCUCAUUCCCUGUAACGUGGCAAUCUUUUGAAGUUUAUUGUGACUUAUGGUCCAGCUAUAGUCUAUCGUGGGGACUAUUCAGGUACAUGAAAAGAAUGUAAUUUUUCAAUUGUGGGUAUGGUGUUCUGUAAACAACAAUUAGGUCAUGUUGACUGGUGUGGUUCAUAUCUUCUAUACAGUUGUCCCUUGCUAUCCACAGGGGACUGGUUCCAGGACACCUUGUGGAUACCAAAACCUAUAGAUGCCCAAGUUUGUUAUAUAAAAUGGUGUAGUAGUUGCAUAUAACCUAUGCACAACCUUCUGUAUACUUUAAACCAUCUCUAGAUUUUUUAUAAUACCUAAUACAAUGUAAAUGCUAUGUAAAUAAUUUUAUACUGUAUUUUAAAAUUUGUAUUUUUUUACUGUCAUUGUGUUUUUUCUGAAUAUUUGUGCAUUGCUAUUGGUUGAAUCUGCAUAUAUGAAGAGCUGAUUACAUAUACUACUGAAUUUCUUGCCUACAAGUGCUAUCAAUUACUGAGAUAUAAUUGUGGAUUUCCAAUUAUGCUUGUGGAUCUAUUUCUUUUGUUCUGUUAGUUUUUGCUUCAUAAAAUUUAACACUCUCAUUAUAGGUUCAUACUAGCAUACAUAUUCCUGAUGAACACAUACAGUCAUGUGUCAUGUAAUAACAUUUUACUCAAUGAUGGACACAUAUACAAUGGUGGUCCCAUAAGAUUACAAUGGAGCUGAAAAAUUCCUAUCACUUGUGGACGUUGUCAUGCAACAUAUCACUCAGGUGUUUGUGGUGACGCUGGUGUAAAUAAACCUACUGUGCUUCCAGUUGUAUAAAAGUAUAGCACAUGCAAUUAUGUAUAGUACGUGAUAGGUGAUAAUAAUAAGUGAUUACAUUACUAGUUUAUGUAAUUUAUUGUACUAUUUGUAUUAUUAUUUUAGACUGUACUCCUUCUACUUAUUAAAAAAAAAAAAAGUAACUGU